CAUGUGAAACUGUCUGGGAUCAGGGCAGGCCCGUCUCAAGAGAGGGCACAGGGACACAAGCAGCAGCUCGCUGGCCGUCAGCUCAUGGGUCAGGGGAGGUAGGAUGCUGGACCCCAGCUUGUCGGUGCGGCUGUCGUCCGGGCUGACUGCCAUGUGGUUCUUAACUGCAGAGUCGUCCUGUGAGCCGAAGGACAGAUGCUCGAAGCUCACAGCCUUGCUGUAGGAGGGUGGGGCCUCCACAUCCCCGUCCAAGGUGGAGAACUGUGUCAGCUCUUCCUCUGGGGUGAGGCUGGCCUCCUCAGCACCCCUGGCUCCCACAUCGUACCCAGCGGCCUCGUACUCCUUGGCCUCCCUGGACUCAGGCGCCGUGCUCCCUGCCUCUUCCUCCUGCUCAGCCUCCACCUCCUCGAUGGUCUCAGUGGUCCCCUGGCAUACCAGUAUAGAUAUAUGGAUGAAUGAAUGAACCUUGGCAGAGCGGUUCACGGCAUCCUGUGACUGAAGAACCAGAUUGGCCUGAGCUUUUGAUGCCCGCUUAGGUGUUCAGAAUCCCCAGGGCUGUGUCCUUGAGUGCACACAUCAUGUAGGGGCUGUUGAAAUGCCAGGCCAAAACAGACUUUUGCUAAGACUUACCUCAAUUAGAUAUACUUCUUAGGAGGGCCAUGCCAUUGACCCAUUGCCCAGGGAACUUCCAGACUGCUGGAGCCAACCCCACACCAGGUCUCAUGGCCAGUAAGACUGUCAUCAGUCCUAAUAAUGCUCCCUUUGGUUUGGAUCUCUUGUGGCACCAAGGGGUGGAGGGUACCUUCAGACGUCAAGAAAAUGGACUGGCAUGGCAGGCACAUGCCCGCCAGAGGACUUUGUCAAAUGGCCAAGGCAUUCCCAUCAAUGCCAGGUGCCAGCAUACUGCAGGGCUGCACCGAGAUACACGGCUGCCAGUGAAAAGAAGAUGCCCUCUGACCUGCCACCAUGAGCAGCCAAAACGAAACUUGUUUUGGAUUAGGCUGUUUUCGUGUCAGGAGAAGCACAGUGUAGCUGCUGACUUCAUUGUGCCCCCUCACCAUCCUAAGGCAAUUCAAAAAGAGUUUUUGGGUUGUAUGCAAGUAAUUUUAUUUCUAAAUGAAUACUGUUUUAGGGUAGGAUUCGGCAGAACUUAAGCCACAGUAUUUUUUCCCCAAAAUAAAAGUUAUAGGCUACAAAGGUGAUGCAUUCUGCUGCAUAAUAUUCUUUUUAAAAACCAAUGGUAAACUAUAUUCUGACUUUUAUGUCAAUUAGGCAAAUAACAUGCAGACUUAUUUAAUAUUCACUAAAAAUGACUACCUAUGACAGAUUUUUAGAUUUUUUUUCCUACUGCAUGCAUCUUUUGAUUACAUCAAGAGAAGAAGUUUUCUACCUUUGCAAACAGAGUUCCCCCUUUGAGUAGUGCCCUCAGAAGCUCUAAAUUAUGGAGGAAACAUGCUUAUGUCUCUGAAAAUGGAAAGUUCGAAAUACUGAAAACAUGGAGGAGAAUGUUUGUGCUUGUUGGAUGCCAUGAUGGAGAGAACCCACUGCCUAAAACCCUCAUCUCCUGGUACCCAAUGGAGCAGUGACUGGCGAGGGAGGAUGGCAGAUCCAGGCCUAGGAUGCUGCUGGAUGUCACCAUGUCACCAUGUCCUGGACAAAAUGAAGAGACAAGGACAAGAUAAAUUAGAAAAGCAUUGGACGAACACAGUGAGGACUGGGAUGCUGACAUUAACUGGCUGUUGGGUUUUAGAUGAAUCAGUGCCCCUUUCUGGGGCCCCAAUUUUAUGUUUCUGAGAUGAGGGGACUUCACGUUUCUGUAUUUCAUUUAAUAUUUGCAGAAAUGCAACCCCAUAGCCUGUGCAGUCUCCUGCAGCUUUGCUCAGGUUUUCUUCAUGGGAACUGAUGGUUCUAAUUCAAAAGCCCUGUUUAUCUUGUUAACUCUUGGAUGGAGUUCUCAGAACCUACGUAAUCCCACACAGUUGGGUUCCCGGUAGGGCAACUAAUAUGUCACACAGUCCAGGACAGUUUAAAAGUGAAUAGGAAGGGGAGGAAAUGUAUAAAAAUAGGCCCCGACAGUAGGCCCAAGGGGACGGCUGCCAUCACCUGCCUGACGGGCCCCCCCACUGCGAGCACCACAGGAACACACAGCAACCCCUCAGAGGACAUAUUUAAAAUAUUAACCACCUCCUACCUGGGAAUGCCCCUCAGAAUGUUAAUUAAUGUUUUCUGUGUUAUCUGAUUAUAUAAAGCAACCAUUAAAAAAUGUUUGCCAUUUUACAUCUGGAUUUGAAAGAAACCGUGACUAUUCUCAUAAGUCAAAGGGACUACAAAUCCACUUGUUAGGAUCCCACCCAGACUCUGUCUGCUGUCUGCUUAAAGGUAAAAUUCAUGCCACUGGCCUCGGAGCAGGGGCCAUGAAGGGCACUGGCCACACUGGGUGAGCAUGACCUCACUGGGAAGUGGCAGCCUCCUGGCCACCAGACCCUUCCCAAUGACUUCCACUGCAGAACCUCUUCUAGGGAGGGUUACUACCUUUCCAGCAAUCAGCAUGGCUCCCUGGAGACUACAGUGUAGACAAAUGAUGAUUUGGAAAUUAGAAAUAUGGCUCGCUGCAGAAAAGGGCAAGUGAGGUAACCCCUUUACUGGCAACAAGAUAGGCCCUAUUCUGUCUCCCCUUUCUUUAGGUUGAAAAACAAAAUAAAAAUACAUUAAAACCUAA